GAUGAACGCUGGCGGCGUGCUUAACACAUGCAAGUCGAACGGUGAAGGUGGGAGCUUGCUCCUGCUGGAUCAGUGGCGAACGGGUGAGUAACACGUGAGUAACCUGCCCCGGACUCUGGGAUAAGCGUUGGAAACGACGUCUAAUACCGGAUACGAGACGAGAAGGCAUCUUCAUCGUCUGGAAAGAUUUUUUGGUCUGGGAUGGACUCGCGGCCUGUCAGGUUGUUGGUGAGGUAAUGGCUCACCAAGCCUACGACGGGUAGCCGGCCUGAGAGGGUGACCGGCCACACUGGGACUGAGACACGGCCCAGACUCCUACGGGAGGCAGCAGUGGGGAAUAUUGCACAAUGGGCGAAAGCCUGAUGCAGCAACGCCGCGUGAGGGACGACGGCCUUCGGGUUGUAAACCUCUUUUAGUAGGGAAGAAGCGAAAGUGACGGUACCUGCAGAAAAAGCACCGGCUAACUACGUGCCAGCAGCCGCGGUAA
rnacentral:rRNA from 1 species